GCCACCGUAGCUCAGAGGGAGAGCGGCUGAUUUGUAAUCAGUUGGUCGGGGGUUCAAUUCCCUCCGGUGGCU
rnacentral:tRNA from 2 species